rnacentral:tRNA from 1 species
UCUAAUAUGGCAGAUUAGUGCAUUGGAA